GACAGAGGGGGCAAGCGUUGCUCGGAAUUACUGGGCGUAAAGGGCGCGUAGGCGGGAUGGCAAGUCGGUCGUGAAAUCCCUCGGCUCAACUGAGGAUCGUCGAUCGAUACUGCCGUUCUUGAGGAUUGCAGAGGAGACUGGAAUUCCCGGUGUAGCGGUGAAAUGCGUAGAUAUCCGGAGGAACACCAGUGGCGAAAGCGGCCACCUGGACUGCACCUGACGCUGACACGCGGAAGCUAGGGGAGCGAACGGG
rnacentral:rRNA from 1 species